ACCCUGAAGAACUUGGAUAGGUUCACUCUUACCUUGAAGAACUUGGAUAGGUUCACUCAUACCUUGAAGAACUUGGAUAGGUUCACUCUUACCCUGAAGAACUUGGAUAGAUUCACUCUUACCCUGAAGAACUUGGAUAGGUUCACUCUUACCUUGAAGAACUUGGAUAGUUUCACUCUUACCUUGAAGAACUUGGAUAGGUUCACUCUUGCCUUGAAGAACUUGGAUUGGUUCACUCUUACCUUGAAGAACUUGGAUAGGUUCACUCAUACCUUGAAGAACUUGGAUAGGUUCACUCUUACCUUUAAGUACUUGAUAGAUUCACUCUUACCUUGAAGAACUUGGAUAGAUGCACUCUACCUUGAAGAACUUGUAUAGGUUCACUCAUACCUUGGUGCAAAUGCCAGGUAAUACUAAUCAAUCAUUAUACUACCAGUAUGUAGCUGUGAUUAUUAAGGUGCAGUGAUAAGAAUAAUUUAAACUCCAUAUAAUACAGAAAUGUUUCCAUGCAGGGGUGUACUUUCAGUUCGAUAAAAAUGAAAUAUUUUGACUAUAGUGUAAGUGUUGCUAAAUAUUACUGUAGUUGUAGGUCUAGGACUAUAAAUAAAUCAAUUUAAGACUGAUGUUUUCACUUGAAUUGACCUCAGGAUGUUAUAUUUUAUUGUCUUGUUAGAUUGCUUGCCUAAUGGUAGAGCGAAGUUUGUGUUAGUAUUUAUGAGACUGUUUUAAUCACAUGCAAUUCCAUUGUGUUCAUUCCAUUAUUGAUAUGUAUGAUUUAAUGUACCACAGUUCCCAUCAGCAUUAUUUGCUUCAGGUUUCCACUUUGAUCUGUAAAGAUUUAGAUAUCUGUACAAAGUAAUUAGAGUUACUUACAGUUUUUACCUAGUUAAGGAUGACUUUUGUUGUCUGAGGAUAUGUAUGCAUUACUCUCUCUUUUACCUGUUGCUCUAUGACAUUUUAGAUGUAUUUGAUUGACGGGCUAGAACAAUUAUUAAAAGUGUUCAUCUCUCACUUCUCAAUCUUUAAUGUCCUGCUCUCCCCCACCUUAUUUGUCAUAAUCAAUGUUCACCUAUGUAUACACAUUUGCUGUAAUGAAUGUGUUUGCUAUAAAACUGUUCAUUACAGGUUUGCUUGGUAUAUGCUGUUGAAAAUAUGUUUGCUGCAUACUGUUGUUUGCAGUAUAAAUGUGGUAUACAGGAUUGUUAGAGGUUUAAAUGUGGUAUACAGGAUUGUUAGAAGUAUAAAUGUGAUAUACAGGUUUGUUAGAGGUAUAAAUGUGGUAUACAGGAUUGUUAGAAGUAUAAAUGUGGUAUACAGUUUGUUAGAGGUAUAAAUGUGGUAUACAGGAUUGUUAGAAGUAUAAAUGUGGUAUACAGGUUUGUUAGAGGUAUAAAUGUGGUAUACAGGUUUGUUAGAGGUAUAAAUGUGGUAUACAGGUUUGUUAGAAGUAUAAAUGUUGUAUACAGGUUUGUUAGAAGUAUAAAUGUGGUAUACAGGUUUGUUAGAAGUAUAAAUGUGGUAUACAGGAUUGUUGGAGGUAUAAAUGUGGUAUACAGGUUUGUUGUAAAACAGCUACAUUGUAUACAGGUUUGUUGUAAAACAGCUACAUUGUAUACACAAGCUUGUUUGCUGUAUACAUGUACUUUCGUAUACAGGUUUGUUUUUUUGCAUAACUAUAUUCUGCACAAUUUUUGUGAGUAUGUUAUAGCAAUUGUGCUUCUGUUUAAUUAUCAUAGAAGUGUACUGAGUAAAUAACAAUGAAAUUCACAUAAAUACUGAAUAAAUAUUAAUGGCUUGUUAACAUAUCUACUAAUUAAAGAAAUAUUUUUUGAGAUAUUUUCAUAUCUUGAAGACUUUUAGGUUGGAGAUUAAGUAUCUUGACAUAUGUGAAGUUAUACCUUGUUAAAAUGAGUUAUUAACAGUUUCAUCAACCAUAUCUUCUAUUCUUGUCCGUAUAAUUCCAAAGAUUGAGAACAUUGUUCUGAGGAAGGUUUUGCCUACAGAGGUCUCAUUUGACAAGUUUGUUUGGAACCUUCGUGACCGAUUACCAGUUCAGCUACUUUUGAAUACAACAUAUAUACUUGGGGAAGGAUAAUUCAUAAUUGAACACCCCAGAAAGUAACAUAAGCACUAAUUAGUCCGUCCCUAUUUCAUGAACACUGUUUUAGACGUUACUGGAAUGGUCCAUCUUAUUUAUUGAAAUACACGUAUAAUGUUUUUAGAUUAGUACCAAGUGACCUUUAAGAAUGGAUGCAGACCUUAAACACCUUGGCUUUGCCUCCUGAAAGUUUAUCAAUCAACAAGGUCCGUCCCUUAUUCAUAAAAGUUGUUGUGUCAAAAUAAAUGUCCCAUUAUUGGAUCUGGUCCUACUCUACCACCAGCUGAUGAUAGCUGACGAAUAGUAGUAUGCCCCACCACAAAGUGGUCGUCAGGAUAUAUCUAGUGUAACAUUACCCAUGUUAGAGUGUGAUCAGGGUACAGUAAUUAACAUGAUAGAGUAUACGUAUAUACUUACAUCAGUUUCGUCUUUAUGCUUGCACUUUGUUUCCUAGCUAGCAAUAAUUGCAAUAAUUUCAAGAGCUGCAUCUUUUUUAGUUCACCAUAUGGUUCAUAGAACGGGUUAGCUCAUGCUAUGGCACAGCGUCCAUCCGUCAUCUGUCUUCCACCGUCCGUUAAUCAUCUGUCUACUUUUUCUUUUAUUAUGGUACUGGUGCUAAAUGGCUCUGUGGAUUUUGAUAAAAUUUGGUCUGAAGCAUCCUCAGGCAAAGGGGUCUCAAUGUUGUAUCAUCUGAGGAUGUGGCCCAUCCCAAGGGACUUAGCCCCUUGGUCAUAACAUGGAAAUGUAUAAUGAUCAUAUAUGUUCAAUUGCUUAUCAUGAAGAAAUGAAUACACAUAUGCUAUUAGGAUAGGCUCUUAGAUCCUGAAUCAUCAUGUGGAAACAGUUGAGAUCCCCACCCUGUAACCAUAAACACAAUUGUUGGGCAAGGACAGACAAACACAUUCAUAUUACAAGGAUUAGCCUAGAGUUCUGGCCCUGUCCUUGAGAAUAAGUCCAUAUGACAUAGAAACAGCUGAAAUCCCUUCCCUAAAACUGUAUUCAAACAUUCCAGGUGUAUACAGAUCUAUACCACAUUCCAUUUGUAGCAUCAUUUGACCUGGGAAUCAAUUGUUGUGUUAAGGAAGUUUUGUAUGGUAAGAAGAAUGAAGCUGCCUUGGCACUGGCAAAAAGAUGGUAAAAUGGGUUAAUUUGUAUGUUAAAAUGGUAUAAUGGGUUAAUUUGUAUGUUAAAAUAAUUGAAAGCCUUCUGCUGAUUAGUUGAUCAUAUGUCAACCAAAUUUAUGAUAAGGCAUCCCUGGAAUCAGGGAAUCAGAAGUUGCAUAUAUGAAUGUUGUUCAUGUAUUAAAUGAGAAUACUUUGCUAGGAUUGCUUAAACAUGCAGGUGAGCGAUACAGGCCCUCUGGGUCUUGUUGAUGUACGCUAGAGAUUAUAAAAUACAUAUCAAACUGGUAACGUGUUGUUGCAUUGUUACACUUAUCAAUUUAAACUUCAUUUAUACUUGUGAUUAUUAUUUUUAAAAGACAAGAUAAUCACAAUUCAUGGUUUAAUUUUUAUAAAGAAAAUGAGCAUAAUAUUUUGUAGUCUAUACUUUUGUACUUCGGUUGUGAUACCAACACUGAUAUCUGAUAUUAAAAAUUUAUAGUGAAAUUUCAUGUUUGAUACCAGUAACCUAGAGAGAUUGGCAUACAUUUUUAGAUGUUUUUGGAGGUCCAGUUAUUUGGUCUGGCAUUCUGUCCGAUUAAUCUACCGGAAUAAACAAUGAGAACCAGUCUCCAAAAUGGAAAAUAAUAUGUUCACUGCUCUAGUGUAAUAAUGUUAAUGUAAUGUAAAUAAAGAACCUUCAGGUAAGUUAUUUAGAUUCUAAUCAAAUAUAGGACAAAUUAAUUAAGGAGGUCUUUGUCUUUAUAGGAUGAUUAUUAGCCCUUUCACUACUGUAGACCAUAAUGGAUUCAUCCAGAUCAAUGCAUGGUAGAGUCUACUAAAGUAACAUAGGGUUGAAAGGGUUAGACAUAUACAUGUGUCUGUUAGUACUUUUGCCAAACACUUGCCAAAAAGAGAUGUGGAUAUGUAAAAUGGUGUGUAAGUAGGUCGCUGUUAUAGGUGUACAGUGUAAUAUCUAUUGUACAGGGAGGUGUAUGACACAGUGAUUUUGUUGUCAUUUGUGUAUGUUUUGAAUGUGAACAUUGUCAUCAUUGUGUGUAAAGCACUGGUUGGAACCGAGUUAAUUCUGUGAUAUUUUUUUUAUUAAAUUAUGUAAAUCACUAAAA